UAUACAAAUACUGCUUGAUAAGCAGAGAAGAAAGCGAAAGAAAGAGAGACCCAAAUGGCGUGCGGCGUAAAUUUGUGGACGAUACCACAGCCAAAGCCGCAGUCUUCCUAUUCUUCUUCUUUAAAACCACCUCUCACUUCACAAUUAUCAUUAUUAUUCCCAAAUUUCAACAAUUCCACCCUCUCCCUCCGUUUCCAUACAACCCUAUCCCGCUCUCGUCUUACCAAAUCCCACUCGCCAAAUGCUCCUCCUCCUCACUUCAUGGUAAUGGCAUCUACUAAGAACCCAGGAGAGGCUCUCAAAAUUAUGAUAUCUGGGGCUCCGGCUUCUGGUAAAGGAACCCAAUGUGAGCUUAUCACUCAAAAAUAUAGUCUGGUGCAUGUUGCUGCUGGAGAUUUACUCAGGGCAGAAGUUGCAGCUGGUAGUGAUAAUGGAAGGCAAGCAAAGGAAUUCAUGGAGAAAGGACAAUUGGUCCCAGAUGAAAUAGUUGUUAUGAUGGUCAAGGAGCGUCUAUCGCUGCCAGAUGCUGAAGAAAAUGGUUGGCUUUUGGAUGGAUACCCAAGGAGCUUAUCACAAGCAACUGCUCUUAAGAAAUUUGGGUUUGAGCCAGAUCUUUUCAUUCUCCUUGAAGUCCCUGAAGAUAUCCUUGUUGAGAGAGUCAUUGGACGAAGGUUAGAUCCUGUUACUGGGAAGAUAUACCACUUGAAGUAUUCUCCCCCAGAAACUGAAGAAAUUGCUGCGAGGCUUACUCAACGAUUUGAUGACACGGAAGAAAAGGUAAAGUUGCGGUUGCGCACUCAUCAUCAAAAUGUGGAGGCAGUUCUUUCAAUGUUUAAAGACAUAACAGUGAAGGUGGUUUAGCAAUACUGCCUUAUAUUUGGCCAAUGCUUUCCACCCAGAGCAACCAGCUGGGUUUUCAUUUUGCUUUGACAAUAGAUCAAACUAGAGAUUGAUGGAAAUGGUUCCAAAGAGGAUGUGUUUGCCCAAAUUGAUGGUUGGCUGACAAAACUUCUUGAGCAAAGGAAGGCUACUUCAGAAUCUUUGGCAGCAUAAAAUACUGUGAAGCAGAAUAGUUAGGCCCCAUUUGGCCAAGGUUCUAUAAAGUGGAAAUGUAUAUCAAAGGAAUUAAAUGGUAAAGGUAUUUGGAAACUAAUAAUAUAAUAUAGCUUUUUGGGUGCAUAGAAAGUGCGUUGGUAAAAGCAUGAUUGUAUUUGUCCCCAAUUUUUAUUGGUCCAAUGGUAGUGCCUGCCCUUCUCAUAAACUCUCCAUCCCAGCUGCUUCUCAUAAACUCUCCAUCCCAGCUGAAGGCGAUGUUUGAUUUCAAGUAUCCACUUACAAUGCUACGAGACUUUACUAAUUAAGCAACCCGACACUUUUAAUAUUUGAUGUCCUAGAAUAUUUUCUUGUUUUCUCUUAGCUUUCCUGGUUAAUUGUAAUAAAACAAGGGAAAUGUUAAUGGAUACUCAAAGUGUAUUGGUUUAUAAAGUACUUUUAGAAACUUUUUAUGAAAAAGGAAAAAAAAAAUUGUUU